rnacentral:lncRNA from 1 species
CACCUCCCUCACACUGACCUCUUUCAAAGAACCUGUCUUUACACGCCCUUCAAUAGGACACAGGCCGGACGUGUGAGGAGCCGGAACAGUCACCAGAGACAUAUCCCCACGUCUUUCCAAGCCAGGGGAAAGAGUUCAGAUUUCAGCUGUAUUAGGAAGUCAUUGGUGUGUCGUGAAUAGGAAAAGAACAUGAUCUGACUUGCAUUGUUAAAGACAAUUCUAGCCCUGUGGUGCGACACUCUGAGGGUAAGAGGGGAGAUAGGAAAAUCG